rnacentral:ncRNA from 1 species
CCGACCCAGGUCUGUGGUUGCGGGCGGCCCGCGCCGCCCCAGUCCAUGCCAGACGAGGGCAAAGGGAUCCACGUAAGCUCGGGCGUGCGCGCCCGGGCGAUCAUGGCUCGUCCUAGAGGUAAGUCGUACCGCCCGUCAGACAUGAGAGGCAUCCGGCCUCGCGGGCGAGAGGGGCAAAAGUGGCGGCGCCGCGGCGCCAGAAGCGACGUCCCCGGUGCGCGAGUGUGGGGGCAAAGACCAGGUCAGCUGGGUGGG